rnacentral:pre_miRNA from 1 species
GCGCGUCGUGUCAGGUACUAGGUGACUCUGAGUGGAAUGGUCUCAGAGACGCCUCGUGCCUCAGCACGGCGGCGC